rnacentral:lncRNA from 1 species
CUCCAUCCUUUGCCCAUCAACCGCUGGACCCCGAGCUCAACCAGCCUCGGUCGUGUGUGCGAGCAUGCACUGGUGCGCUCUGUUUGUGGUGUGUUCGUGCGUGGGUGCAUUGUUUUGGCUGCGUACGUGUGUGGUGUUGUGUUGGAAAGUUCAGCUACUGUAUAUUGGGAAGAGCUAAUUCAUUUUCAGUAAUGAUACUGCCUCAAUGCCUUCUUCUCGAAUCAAACAUUUAGCUUGCUAUGCGUUUGGAGAAAAGAAUAAACAAGAUAACGCAAACCGGCCCUGGUUGGAUAUGGUGAGAGAAGAUGCUAAUUUUGUGGUGGAGAAUUGUAGUAACGCCAAGUUAGUGCUUGUUUUGUGUAUAAAAAAGGAUUACAUACAUGUAAUUAUUGUAUGACCAGGCCACUGGAGAUUUUGUUUUGUAGGUAUACAAUGUAUUUUCGCUACAGAUCCUUAUGGUCAAUGAUCUCCAAAUUUUACUCUCUUUACUCUUCUAGUGUAAGAAGUUUAAAUAUACAAAAUAUAAAAGUUCAAACAUGUAAAAGAGAAAAAAAAGUUAGUCUACAAAAUUUACUUCUAAAAAGAUCAUGUAAAUUAGCACAAGAGUUCAAAUAUAAAAUCAACAAAAAUAGUUUGAUGUUUACAAACCCAAAAGAAGGUCAUUAAAAAAAGCAUCUCAAACAAUUUUGUAAAAAAAGUUUUUCUCUGUUAAAAUAAACCUAGAAGCUCAAAUUGAAAAAUGGAGCGGCUCGAGGUCUAUCAAAAAGUAGGAUUUUUUUCGUCACUAAAAGAAAUAAACCAGGAAGUCCAUAUUAAAAAUAUGGAGAAGUUAGAUGAUUAUAGAAAUCUCAGAUUUUCCUCAUUAUUAAAGAAUGGAAACAAGAAGUUCCAAAUUUAAAUAACCAGCAGUUCAACUUUUAAAAAUAUAACGCUUCAAAAUUUCAUAAAAAAGAUUAAGAAAUAAAACCAGGAAGUCCAUAUUAAAAAGAUGGAGAAGUUCGAUGAUUAUGGAAAACUCGGAUUUUCCUCGUUAUUAAAGAAUGGAAACAAGAAGUUCAAAAAUAAAAUAACAAGAAGUUCAACUAUUAAAAAUAGAGCGCUUCAAAAUUCAUAAAAAAUGAUUAAGAAAAUUAGAUUAAAAAUUUAUAAAAAAACUCAAAUAUUUUCACGUAACCGAUAGAAGAUCAGGUUGAUAACUGCCAGAAGUUCAUGUACUACACGUUGUGCAUUUGUAUGAAAAAAGAAUGAAAAAGCAAAGGCUAAAAGUUUCGUUGCUAGAAGUUGAAGUGCUAAACCCGAGAAAGUUCAAAAAUUCUUGUGAGAGAGGUUGAACAAAAGUACGUGACAGAAGUUCAAGGUGAAAAUAGCGGGAAGUUCAAGCAAAGGAUAAAAUUUCAUUGCUAAAAGUUCAAGUGCUCGGCCCGAGAAAGUUCAAAAAUUCUUGUGAGAGAGGUUGAACAAACAUACGUGAUAGAAGUUCAAGAUGAAAACAGCGGGAAGUUCAACUACUACACGAAAUGCAUUUCGGAAAAGAAUAUAAGCAUAGAAAACUAAAAGCUUCAAAUGUUGUAAGAAGUUCACGUGCUCCUCCCGGUGAAGUUCGAGAUCUCUAGUGCAAGACGUCCAACCUUCAACUACAUGUUAAAAACAAGUAAAAAGAUGUUGUUUUUGCCAUUUUUAAUACUGCUCUCAAACAGUAACGAAUUUGUGACAAUUGUCUUGAUGAAAAAUUUAGUUGCUCAAAGUUCAAUUGACCUGCCCGCGAAGGUUCAAAAAAGGAUUUUGCCCGUUACUAACAAAUAAAACUAAGAAGUUCAAAUUUAAAAAAUGGUGAAGUUCGAUGUCUAUAAGAAAUGAAGAUUUUUCUCAUAAUUUUUCCCAUCACGAAUGAAAAACACAAGAAAUUCAGUUCGAAAAUAUCCAAGAAGUUGUACGAUGUUUAUCACAAAAUUAGCAUUUUUCCCGUUACAAAUGAAAGACACCAAGAAGUUCGAAUUGAAAAAAACCAAGAAGUUCAAUUUUAAAAAAUACAAUAGUUCAUUGUAUAUGAAAAAAAAUAGAUUUUCCUCGAUAAUAAAUAAUAAACCAAGAAGUUCAAUUUUAGAAAAUGGUGCAGUUCAAUAUUUAUCACAAAAACUUCAAUUUUUCCAAUUGCUAACGAAUAAACCAAGAAGUUCAGUUCGAAAUAACGAAGAAUUUGUAUAAUGUUUAUUACAAAACUAAGAUUUUUCCCGUAUAAAAAUCAAAUGCAAUUCUUUACUCAAAAUAUAAAAAGGUGAAGUUAAAAUUGAAAUAACAGAGAAGUUCGGAGUUUAUUAAAACCUAGGAUUUACCUAUUGAAAAAAAACACAACGCCAUUUUUUGCACUUUUAAAACAACUCAUAAAUGAAAAGAAUGGUUGAUAGAAGUUCAAUUGCUUAGUGAGGAAAAGUUCAAAAAAUUCUUGUGAGAGAGGUUCACCGUGUAUUUAGAUAUCCAAAAUACAUAAAAAAAUAUGUUUUUUUUGUGUUUUAAAAUAAUUCUCUCAAACCAGAGAGAAGUUCAAAAGUGAUAACAACCGGAAGUUCACGUACUACAUGGCAUGUAUUUCAUACAAGAAAAAUACAAAUAAAGUGAAACAGAGUGAAGUUCAAACAGACAUGCCCCAGAAGUUCAACUACUUCACAUAGUACGAAAAGCAGCAUGUCAAAAAAUAGCACGUCAAAAACAGAGUGAAGUUCAAACAGACAUGCCCGAGAAGUUCAACUACUUCACGCAGUGCAUUUCCAUUCACGAUGAAGGCAGAAAUCAUGAUCUUGUCAUUUUCUAAUUUACUUCAAAACGAUAGGAAUAUCAUUUGUGUAAGUGCAAGUCCUCGGUCGGAGAAAGUUAAAAAAAUAUUGUGAGAGGGGUUUGUACAAAAAGAAUAUCAUUUGUGUAACACUGCCGAAAAUGGAUGGGAAAAUUACAGACAAAAUAUGUCACACAAGUCCAACGUGAAAACAGCAGGAAGUUCAACUACUACACUAAAUAAAUAUCACAAGAAAAACUUUUAAAACCGUUGCGAGUAUGAAAAAAUGAUCACCAUGGAAAAGUUGCGUGUUUAUAGCAGCUUUCCAUCGGUAUAUCACUUGUGUAAUUCCGGUGAGUUAAUGAAGAGCUAUGAGCAAAAAAAGCACAUGAACAACAGAGUGAAGUUCAGGCAGAACUGCCACAGAAGUUUAAGUACUUCAUGCAAUGCAUUUUCGACGAAUUUGUUUCGUGAUAAAGGCAGAACGAGUGAUCUCGCCAUUUCUGAAAUUACUUGAAAAUUGCUGGGAUUCAGAGAAAACCAUCAACAUGAAAAAGUUUCGCAAUUUUCAUAGCUUUUUAACAGUAUAUUAUUUGCCCCGUUCCGAUGAAGUUUGUAGAAAUUACGGCGAAAAUACGUUUUUAGCUAUUUUCAAAAUCAACGUAAAACUAUAAUGAAUUUGGAGAAACAAUAUAUACCAAAAAGUUUCGCAUUUGUUUAGACUUUCCAACGCCAUAGCAUUUUCUACGUUCAGACGUAUGAUUAAAACAAUAUAUCGAAAAUACAAACUUGGUACAAAUUGUACCGUUUUCUAAAUUACUCUUAAACUAAUCAAAAUUAGAAAAAAAAACUUUCAACAUGAGAAAAAAUCGCAUUUUCAUAAGCUUUCCAACACCAUAUCAUUUGUCUCAAUUGGAUUAGGCGUUUAGAAAUGGCAACGAAAAUACGAAGUCGGUUGUUCGGUUUGCAAAAUUUUACGAUUUUACAUAUUACACUUUAACCAUAUGGAAUUAGAAAAAACUUUCAUCAUGUGGAAGGAGCGGUUUUACAGCAGCUUUCCAACGACAUAUUAUUUGCCUCAUUCCGAUAAACGGUUUAGAAAUGCGAUCGAAAAUACGAUUCACAUUUUUUGUGUGAAGAAAGCACGGUUUUCAAAACUGCUCUUAAACAACUUACAUUUUGCCAAAAUUUUAAGUUGGGUCAUGAUACUGGUGUCCAUGUCUUUCCAAUGGUAUAUCGCAAGCCCUAUUUGGGCAAUGUUGACGAAAGUCCAACCUAGCACUAUGGGAAGUUCAGGUUGAACAAAUCAGGUAGUAAAAUUGCAAAAAACGCAAUUUCAUCACGACCCAAGAGCAAAAUCUGCCAGCGAGCGAGAUUUCUAUUUAAAACCGGUAUUUAGUUGCUAAAAAACUUUUCUUGAUUACACUAACAUCAUAUAGAACAACUAACUAGAAUAAUUCGCGGGGGAAGCCACGGUUGCAAAGAUAGCCCGAAGGUCGGAUCGUACAGAGGGAAGUUUAGGCGCGUGUACAA